rnacentral:rRNA from 1 species
GAAAACCUUACCUGGCCUUGACAUGCCACUAAAAGCAGAGAUGCAUUAGGUGCCCGAAAGGGAAAGUGGACACAGGUGCUGCAUGGCUGUCGUCAGCUCGUGUCGUGAGAUUUGGGUGUCCCGCAACGAGCGCAACCCUUGCCAAUAAUUGCCAUCAUUUAGUUGGGCACUUUAUUGGGACUGCCGGUGACAAACCGGAGGAAGGUGGGGAUGACGUCAAGUCCUCAU